UCUUGCGCAAUGGCCGAAAGGCUGACGCAGCGACGCCGCGUGGGGGAGGAAGGCCUUCGGGUCGUAAACCCCUGUUGCCCGGGACGAACCCCUGGUUUCGACCAGGUUGACGGUACCGGGUGAGGAAGCACCGGCUAACUCCGUGCCAGCAGCCGCGGUACUACGGAGGGUGCGAGCGUUGUCCGGAAUCACUGGGCGUAAAGGGCGCGUAGGCGGUCCAGUAAGCGUGUGGUGAAAGCUCGGGGCUCAACCCCGCGUCGGCCAUGCGAACUGCGGGACUCGAGCCCACUAGAGGCAGGCGGAAUUCCGGGUGUAGCGGUGGAAUGCGUAGAGAUCCGGAAGAACACCGGUGGCGAAGGCGGCCUGCUGGGGUGGAGCUGACGCUGAGGCGCGACAGCGUGGGGAGCAAAC
rnacentral:rRNA from 1 species